AGCAGCCGCGGUAAUUCCAGCUCCAAUAGCGUAUAUUAAAGUUGCUGCAGUUAAAAAGCUCGUAGUUGAAUUUCGGGACUAAUAUGUCGGCCGUGCCUCGGUACGUACUGGUAUUUUUGGUUUCUCCCUUCUGACGAACCUUGAUGUCAUUAAUUUGGUGUCUUGGGGAAUCAGGACCGUUACUUUGAAAAAAUUAGAGUGUUCAAAGCAGGCUCACGCUUGAAUACAUUAGCACGGAAUAAUGAAAUAGGACGUUUGAUUCUAUUUUGUUGGUUUCUAGGAUUGACGUAAUGAUUAAUAGGGAUAGUUGGGGGCAUUAGUAUUCAAUUGCCAGA
rnacentral:rRNA from 1 species